UUUUUUUUUCUUUUUUCUGUUUUUUGAGACAGAGUCUUGCUCUGUCACCCAGGCUGGAGUGCAGUGGUGCAAUCUUGGCUCACUGCAAUCUCUGCCACCUGGGUUCAAGUGAUUUUCCUGCCUUAGCAUCCAGAGUAGCUGGGGUUACAGGCACGGACCACCACCCAGUUAAUUUUUGUAUUUUCAGUAGACACGGGAUUUCACCAUGUUGGCCAGGCUGGUCUCGAACUCCUGACCUCAAGUGAUCUGCCUGCCUCAGCCUCCCAAAAUGCUGGGAUUACAGGUGUGAGCCACCAUGCCUGGCCCUGGCAUUUUCUUGUAUAGGAGUUUUACCAAGAUUGUCUCAGUCUUCCAAUUAUCCUAGGCCUAGACCUGCUAUGAUGUGUGUUGAUCUGCUCAUGACCUCAUGGGGUAAGCAGGGAUGGGGACAGGGCUGUGCCUGGCAUGACAGCUGCCCGUGAUAGAGGGACAGACAUGGGGAAACCAAACCACAGUCUCUCUUGCACACACAGCUGUGUAGGGAGGGGGCUGUGCGCUGGGAGCGGAGGCUCCGUCAUGGCAGACCCUGGGGAUGGAUGAGAGCCCAGGCUUUAGCCUGGGCCCUGGUCAAAAGCUGUCAGGAAGCACUGCUAUGAAAGACAGCGGAGCCCAGCUGACUGUGGGGCUGUGGGCAGACUCUAGUACUGAUGGAGGCCAGCAAACUCCUGCUUAGUAUCCAUUUUUGGAUUUAGGAGUUGAAGCCAAGGUAGAAAACUUUAUAGUGGGGAGAAAGAAACUGAGCCACCCUAGAAGCUUCCUGUCUCAGGAUUAGUUCAGGAUCUGGGCAGGGAGUGGAGGAGGGAAGUCUCUGUAGUCAGCCCAUCGGAGAUGGGGAGGCAAAGGCGUGACAGAUGAGGCAAAGCCUCCUACCUGCGGUUUUGGGAUGUCUUGUCCUCAUUUUCAGUUAUUUGCUUGUUGAUGGAUUUUCUGCUGGAGUAACUACAUCACAGGUGGGGAAACUGAGGCAUAGGAUGGGCCAAUGCUAAGGCUGCCAAGGGUUUCUCAUAGACUUGGAAGACAAGCAUGGCUUCUGUCAGUCUUCCAGAAUUUUCUUAGGCAGGAGCUGGGACGAGGGGCAGCUGAAAGCAAGUCUGGGGGCAUCUUUGCUAAUAUUUUACUCCCAGUUAAAGAGCACUUCAAGUGUCUGAGAACGUCGUGUGGCCUUCCUCCUGUGCAGGUUGUGGAAAAUUGCAUUCUCCUGUGCUCAAGGCAACCAAGGAGAGCCUGGUGUGUGCAGGACCCUGCUCUGGUAUCUUUGUCAAUUCCCCUGUGACAGCUGCAGAUUCAGAGACCACACUUCAAUUAUGGACCUAGCAGGUGAAGGGGUGCUUGGACAGGGCCAUCACGUUGAGAUCAAUUCAUCCUUUUCACAGCCACGGAAAGGGGGAAGGAUUGUGAAUACAAAUUGUGGUCCUGGUCUGAAAGUGGGACGGGGGAUGAGGAAUGGAAGAGGGGAUAGACAGAGAAAGAGAAGGGUGAGGGAGCUGAGAGCCAAGGGAAUGAUCAAAAGGCUCUUUGGGAAUGGACUUGUAGAGCCAGCUAUCUCUGCAUUCCCUCUCGCUCAUCCUUGUCAUUCCAAGCAUUUCUACAAAGCAGUGUUUAGGCAUCAAACAAUACCAAGAAGACUUGAGGCAAUAGCUUCCUGGGAGGGAG
rnacentral:lncRNA from 1 species